rnacentral:misc_RNA from 1 species
GCCUGCUGCUGGGAUUGCUGCUGCUGCUGUUGCUGCUGCGAACCCACCACCGUAUUGCACAGUUCUGCGAACGUUUGUAUCGUCGACUCGUUCGACGCUUGUUGGAACACCGGCGACGUGGACGAGACCACCACGGCACCACCAGUCGUUGGAAUACUAAGGGAAACGGUUACUAUACCAGCCGAGGCAGCCGCUGUUUCCAGAACGUCCGACCGAGAUUCCAGCUGGGGCGACGGUGCACCUUCCGAACUCUGAGAGUCAUCCUCGAAGGUGAUGUAAUGGUCUGGAUGCUGAGGCUUGUGCCGGCUCGAGAAAGAUGACGGAACGAGGACUGCAUCGCGACCGGUAUUUAUAGAAGACUGAAGAAGAUCGUAAGCUAAUGGUCAUAUAAAUAGUGCAUCACGCGCAGUCUCAACUUUUUAACCGGAAGGAAAACUCCUCGGGGCUGCUUUAAAAGCGGUUCGUAAAGGAGGAUCAUAAAUCCAGGCCUUGUUCAAUGUGCCGCGGUCGGGGCGAGUGUCGCGCAGAAACGAUUAUCCGCCGGUGAACACGAGCUGUAAAAAGUACACGAAAGCGAAGAGAACACGGCGCGUGAUAGGAUUACCCGAUGAACUGGGGAGGGGCCCCGAAAAGCCCUCGAGGAAGUACGGACUUCCGCGAAACGCCGAUGGAAUCUUAAGCGAUCAUCUGUCCCGUUUGCAUCUUUUAGACUUGUCACAUGGUCUGUAACGUUGAAAGCCGCCUCCUUCUUAUUUUUAAAUACCCUUUACAUGUAGUUACUCUAAACACUAUCGCGUGAUCAUCGGCGUGAUUAACUCUGCUCUCGACAAGAAGGUAAUAUCUGCGCGCAUUACGCGGAAUUGCGUAGAUGCCGGGGCGCCGGGAAAAAUAUCGCGCUGGAGAACAGAGAAUCCCAAGGCGAAAUAUCCGC